CAUACUAAUGCCCAUCCCAGGAAGCAAGCCAAUCAGUAGAAUUAGGUAUGAACUUACAGCUACAACAUCUAAGUAAAAGUUUGGAGGUUUUUGGAUGCACAGCUCAUCAAAAUGCAGCAUAGGUAAUUUUAUAGACACUCAAGGGUUAAAGGUAAGCUUUUCACAUGAUUUUGUCAUCCUGGGUUAUGGCACUUUUUGGCUUAUGCCACUCCACCUGAACGGAACCCCCAAAGUAACCAUGGGACUGCCAGCGCAGUAAAAAUAACAGCGGCCCAAGAAUACUACCCUGUGGAACUCUAGACAAAAUAGGUCUUGGUUCACUAAAGAAGAGCCCAGCCACGGCAACUUGCUGCUGCCUAACUGUAAGGAAAUCUUGAAGUAAUCCUUGUGAUUUACUAAAUUGACAGCAGCACUAAGAUCUGUUUGAGUUACUCUGCACUCAAAACCCCUAUCAAGGUUCCCUUGCAAAUGGCAAGUCAAGUCUAAAGAUAGCAUCACAGGUACCUGACAGCUUCCUAUAUGCAUAUUGACUAUCAGCUAACAAUCCUUUAGAUUCUACAUACUUAUAUAGUGGCUUAAAAAUAAGUUUUUCAGCAACUUUGAAGAGCACAGGGAAAUGGAAAUUGGCCUGUAGUUACUGCAGUGUGCAGAUAUGCCACUCUUUGGAACAGGCACUGUAUUAGUAAGCUUGUGCUCAUCCCCAGAUGCUACUAUAAGAAUCUAUAGAAUCUACUUACCUUGGGAGACAACACUAGAAACUUUCAUGAAAAACAAAGAGGAAACCAUCCAGAUCUUCUCCACAGCAGCUAUCAAGAUUAUCCAGAAUUUUCUUAACAUCCCUGGAAUGAAAUGCUAAUUUUAUAUGAAUAGGUUCAGGAUGGCAAGUAUCAGGGAGAGGGACAUCCUCAGCUGAUUGCUUAGCUUAAAAAGCUCAACAAAGCAGUUCAACUUUUUCCCUGGGGCCAGUAACCAAUCAACCAUGAUCUGUUAGUAGUGGUGGAAUGGAAGACAACUUUGACCCAAAGAUAGAUAAUGCCAAAUUGAUCCACCAUGUAUGAGGUUGAGUAAUUCCUUCAAUUUUUCUCUUCAAGGAAUGACAGUAAUUUCUCUCGGCUGUAUGGUAAUUUUUAUUCGCAGCAUGGCAAUGCUUGAACAGUUUCAUCUCCAAGCGUUGAAUUUGGUCUGUUUGUCAUGGUGGGCUCAUAUACAUGUAGCACCAAACCAAAGCUGGUCAUUUGUUGUAAAUUUUAUGACCUUUCAAGGGACAUUAAAAUAGCCAGCAGCAUUUCAUUUAAUUACUUCUUGGAAUCAGGAUCUAAUAUAGCAUUUGAAAUAUUAAUAUGAAGUGCCUGACAAGCUUCAAUAAUGCAGUCCCAAUUGGCUCUGGGUUUUAGCCUGACUGUUUUUCCAGUGAUGGCAUUAGGAAUAUACUGAUUAACAUGAAUGUCCAUGUCAGUGGCACAGUGAUCAGAAGUUCCUUUAGUAAUAUAUUCACAGACCUUGGACUUGACAAUAGCUAGAACAUCUGUGAAGGUGAGGUCUGAUCUAUUAGCAGAAAUGUGGGUGGUUCCUCAAUUAGCUGGACAAAAUUGGAGGAUAAACAGAACUCAAGAGCAGACUGGCCAUGUUGAUCUGUGGAAUUUGAAUUUAGCCAUUCACUGUGCUUUUUGUAUUACAGUCUCUACAAAUAAUAAAUGAAGCUUUUGACUUAGCCAUACUAAUCAUCUCCAAAUCUCCAAGAGAGUUGUAAAAAGAAUUGCUCAUAUUGGAUUUACUGAAAAUUAGGAAAAAAAUAACUUCAUGGCAACUACAUUCCAAAUUUUUUUUUUGGUGCCUAAGAACCAAAACUUUUUGAAAGGGGGACCCAAAUGUUCUCAUCUGCCAUCAUGAAUAUGAUGGAAUUGUCUAAAAAAACAGUUUCAUUUUGUACUAUGUCAUCUUGAAAGGAUAAUACUAACUCGCAAACUCUUAGCACCCAGCUCAAAGGUUAGGGGUCAUGAUGUUACGGCUAUAUACUUGUAUCUCUGGCCUAAAAAGAAAAGUAUACAUAAAUUUCUUCUGUUAUCAGUUUUUCUUUGUGGAAGUCACUGAAUAGCUUUUAAUGCUUUUAAAUUUAGUGCUUGGCUCAUAAUUCUUUUAAGUUUUUCUCUAUUGGCUCCUUUGUAGCAGAGGGCUCGUUUGUUACUCCCUCUCAAAGGGAGAGGAUGCUCCUGACUGUGACUCAACUUUUCCCUCAUCCUUUGUUCAAUUCUUGUGCAGUGAGGACAGUUGGGGCAUUCACUUCUAUGCUACAGAUGAAAAGGUGGUGUUUUGUUUGACUAUUUAUUUAGUCCUCCGGCAAUACAGGCUAUGGUGUUACUGACUAGAUAUUAGCCUUUUUCAUGGCUGUGGUAGUCCAUAGAACAACAUGACCUCCAGAUCCAGUCAUUCAGUAGUUGCUAACUCCAGGUUGAUAUCUGAACAGGAGCAAGUCUCCUCCCACACAAACAACUGUAAAUUAUUGUUUUAAAACAUAAUUUAUUCUUCUGAUACAAACUAGUCACUUUAUGAGGUCAUUUUCCAUUCUCCUGACCCAAUGGCAUUUGAAGAUUGGUCAGACAACAACUGAUUGAGGGACUUGGGAGCCUCGAUGGUUACAUGUUGAUAGAGAUUAUUUCUCUCUUCAGUUUUUUUAAGCACGUUUUGAAAGGGAGCUCAUGGACCUAAUGACAGUCAUAAAAUUAUGUUUGUACCAAAAAUUCAAUUAUGUUUUUAAAAACUUACUUCAUCAGACAAGAGAACAUGUAAAAUAUGGCUUGCAUAUUAGUUACUCUCAAGUUCUCAGAUUCCAAAAUAACAUUUAAUAACAAGGAAAUGCAUAUGUACUUGGUAUGAUGUAUAAACAUAUAUUUACAAAUCAAAUAUAAAGGAUCACAAUUUUUACAAAAGCAUUUAAUGUAAUAUGUAUGUUCUUGCUUUGUCAGUCACUACGAAAACUUUAUAGAUUUUCACAUUGCAGGAACUGGUCAGAUAGCAAAUACAGUAAAUUACACAUUAAUUUACAGAAUACAUUACUUUAGUUAGUAUAAACACUGAUUGCAGUCUACACAAAUAUAGUAUUACCAAUGUGGAUAAAAAAUUCUGCCUGUAAAGAUAAUACGGUACACAGUAUUGUGAUGAGAAUUUUACAGUGUAUACCUAAGGAAAUUGUCAUUCAUGUACAGGCAGUCCCCCCUUAUUUGUGGGUUCGGUUAUAGGCGAUCUGAUUUUACGUCACUUGUCCAGUGACAAAAAUCGGCGAUAUUCGCGAUACCUAAUGGAAGCACUGAUCACCUAAAACUGCCAAUUAUCGGUUAUCGUCACACCAUUGGAAUGGAAACCCACCGAUAACCGGGGACUGUCUGUAUAUAGAUAAAAUGGAAUUUCCAAGUACUUGUGUAUAAGCUUGGCAAUUGCAUUUGGUAAUGUCUAUGACCAUGUGAGCCCCACAGGCAUUGCCAAUUCUAUUUCCUGUCUUUGUGCUCUUUAUUUAGAUUUGGUGGUCAACUGUAUACUAGUAUACAGUUUGCAAUAUUUGUUAAACCUGGAAUGUUUAUUAAAUUAUAUUUAGUGUAACACAUUCUAAAUUAAUAUGGAAAAAAGUUCAGUCAUCCCAUGUUUUAUCAGUUAAUCAUUCUCUCCAACUUAAAAGCUCAGAAUUUCCUUGAUUGCUGUAAUUACUCAUAGACUUCUUUUGUCUGUCAGUUUUACAAGGCAGCUUUAUCACUGGAUACCUGGAUAAGUACAUGAAAGCUAUUUAUUUGUAAAAUAAACAGAUGUAUGUAUUACUCUUGUGGUCAUUAGGCAAUUAAUGGUUAAGUCAAAGGAGAUGACUGCUCCAUAGUGAUGGACUUAUUUAUGUGAUAUACUAUUGGAGUACUAAAUAAAAAAAAUAAAAAAUGAAAAAAAAUAGAACCUUACUAAAUACUUCUUGUUGCAAAGGUCAGUGUGACUUACCUGUAGAAAAGGUCAGUGUGACUUACCUGUAGAUUGUAAGAAAUAAAAAAAUAUCCAGUGCAUUACUUAUGGUAGUCAUUGCAUAAUCAAUCUUUGUUGGAACAUUUGUUUAGCUAACAGAUUGUAGUUUCAUUCCAUUGUAAUUUUUCUUCUGAGCACUUCAUAAUGUUUACGAAAUGUAAAAAAUUUCACAUCAAUAAAAAUUAUAUUUUUAUAA